UGAAUCUGCUCACUUUAAAAGAAUUAACAGUCCAUAUUCCUUUCUACAUUAACUUGCCAAGAUUCCCAGUAUGGGUACUGUUUGGAAAUUUAAUCUUUGAUUUGAUCCUCAAUUACAUGGGGCUUCAUUCCUACCAACUUCCUGUAAUUCUAUACCUUUGGGUAAAACUAUGAGUGGUCAGACUCUGCUGGAGAAAGUACAGGCGCUGAGACUCCCUCACCGAGUUAAAUAUUCAUUUAGUAGAGCUGGUGUGAAAAAGUACUGUUUCAGCUUGAAGUGUUAGGAGGCCGAUGUUCUUGUGUUACUCAUCCGUGCAGACUGGAGAAGGUAUAAUUGAAACAAGGCUGGCUGUGUUCCAGUCAGAGUGCCGCUGAGCGCAGCGUAAAGGUCGCUGCAAAUCAAGCGCUGUGAGGGUGAAGACGCUUGGGCUGAGAGCGAUUCCGAGCGGUCGCCGGGUCGACGUUCUCUCUGUAAUAUCUGGUGUCGAAUGUUUUAAGCAGGGUAAAGAACACAACUCGACAGCUCUGUCGGCACCACAAAUGACUGCUGCUUUCGCUGCAGCACAGCUGCUUCGAGCCCGUCUGUGGACAGAGAUCUUGGUUUUGACUCUCGGCCCUUAAUAUGGUUGGAAAUGAGAACAAAUGGCACAAAGCUUGCGAUUGCACUUUGCAGCCCAAAGAAGCAGUACUUACCCUUUGUCAGAAGGCCCCGGAGAGGGUGUAGAUAGCCGGGUCCGCACGUGCUCCCAGAGACCAGCAUGGAUUUCCUCAGCUAACGUUCAGAUGAAGCUGACUCCCAGACAGACUGCGGCUCCGCUGACGAAGAGUGUGACAGCUCGGGAAGGCUCCUCUGUCCCUUCACCUGAAAAUAUCCGUAAGAAGAGCAGCUCCCUGCGGAUUUCGCUGAAGCCCCCAAGGUGCAGUGGGAGUCUCCAGCCUCCUAGUGUCUCAAAGGAAUGCGCCCGCAGCGGUGCUGGGAGCCAUGGCAACCUCGGAAGCAGUCCUAGUGUCUGCAGUGGAAGCCUGGGGAACUUCGCAGCCAGUGAGCUGGGGUCCUACAGCAGCAUCAGUAGUGAUCACGGGUCGUCUGCAAGCAGUGCCAGUGGAGGCUCCUACACCAGCAGUGCCGGCAGCGACUGCUGCGGCUACUCUUUCCCACCAAGCGAUGGCACUUUUUUCAGUGGAAACUUAUCUGCUGACAGUACCUCCAACAGAAUUGGGCCAAACAGGAGUGCCGCUCCCUGUGAGAGUUUUUCAAGAAGUCCCAGCACAGCUCCCCUUGUCCAGAAUGACUCGGAGCAUGGGAUCGAGACUGUGAAAUUGCCAGUGAGCAGGAAUGCAAAAACUCCACUGAAGCGUUGCUCUUCCUUAGUCAUUUUUCCUCGGAGCCCCUCCAACACCCCACCAGCCUCUCCAGCAGGUACAGGUGUUCUCCCCAGCCGGGGGUCCCACCAGACCUCACACCAGUUCACCAUUUCUCCUAGUGAAGCUGCACAUCAUGAAGAUGGUUCCGGAGCCAAAGGGUUUCUUUCAACUGCUGUCAGUGGACUACGAUUAUGUAAAGCAGUCUGUACUCGUGGAGAAGUCAGAGAUACACGGCCACUUCACAUGGGCUCAUCCCAGAAGAAAGUUGUGAUUUCAAAUAACAGCCCCAAACAGACUGUUCAGGAAAAGUCUUCUGAAGGAUGUUCAUGUGUUUCAGUGUAUUUCACCCAGCGAAAAACAGCUGCCUCCGACUGUGAGAUAACAAAUGGUGACUGUAAACUGGAGAUGUCAGAAAUUAAGCUUCAUUCUGAUCCACGGUAUUCUAAGCCCUGGCACAGAACAUCUGAGUGUUUACCACCCACCCAAAACACAGACUACCAAACAAAAUGCAGUGGAGAGUUGGAAAGACCAAAUUCACAGAUAAACAAAAACCACACUGUCUUACAAAGAAGUAUUUCAUUGGGAGGAACUUAUCCAAAUAUUUCCUGUUUAUCCAGCCUUGAGCACAGUUCUAAGGGGGGACCCUCGCAGUUACUCAUAAAGCUUUCACCUGGAAAUGAAGGUGAAGUUGACAGUCUAUCAAGAGACAGCAUCAGCAACUUCACAAAUGGACUAUCUAAUUCUUGCAAGCUGUGUCUUCUUCCGUUAUUCAUCCAGCCACAUUUGAACUCCAGACACUAAGAAUAAAAGAUGAAUGAAAUGCUGUCUCUGCUGGGGGUGCUCCCAUGGUAGUAAAAGGGUGCACAGGUGAGCAGAACUGUUUCUGUCUAGUGAGUACACACGUGCUGAGACAGGUGUGUCUUAGAAAAGCGUGGCAGGACUUCAGGAGGAAGGAGCCGUGAGGGGCAUUGAGAGCAUCUGAGGAGUCGAGAAGUUGGUUGGCGCUUAUCAAGCAGCGCCUUGAUGGUGGGGCUGUUACCUGUAGCACACUUAUGUGUGGGCCACAUAAUUCCCAUGGAGGGUUUCAGCAGCUGCCCUGGCCCUCACCAGUAAAUGCCAGCCACUCCCGCAAUGUCUGCAGACAUUGUCAAACGUCCCAGGGCAGCACCCCCACUACCCCAACGUCACAAAGGCAAAGCCCACACAAGCGACCUCACACUGGUGGGUUGGAACCUCUGCUGCUAAAGAGAAAGUUGUGUGUCCCUGAUGACAGGCAGUUAGGUGAUAUAUCACACUGUAUUUGAAGUGCAGAGGACUUCUUGUUACGUUUGCAGACGAUAAAUUUUUGUAACAUGAUAGAUUAUAAAUGGAUCAAAGUUUUCUUAGCUCGGAUGACUGGGUGAAUGGUGAUGUCAUGAACCAAGAUAGGAAAGUGGGAAGGAGCCAGAUGUGGGAUGGGUGCAAAAAACUGGUGUGUGGCUGAGUCUGUGCUGCUGUCAGGGGCAGCUGUGGGUACAGAGCAGGGUGGGGAGCCCUGGAAACCCAGGGUGGGAGCCGGGAGUUAAAGCUCAGGGAGGAAGAACUCAGCCAGGGAGAACAGGAACUGAGAUGUGAGGGGAGUAAAAGCCAAAUUCUGAGCCCCAGGGGUUUCAGUGAGAUGGUGAAAGAAGAGACAGGCAAUAGAGAGCCAUCAGACAGGCCAGGAGGUCACGGAGGCCUGGAGUCAGGGGCGGGACAGAGGACUGAAGCACCCAUGAGGUGUAGCACAUGGGAGGUGUUCAGUGAACUUCCCAGCGGGGGCUUUUCAGGUGUCCCCAACACCAGGGAUGACAGCCAGGCUGAAGGAACAGUGGGCGAGGAAGCAGGAACGGCAAGCACAGGUGACCUGCUGGAUGUCACAGGACACAGAGCACCAGCAAGGCACGUAGGGAACACUAUGACUCGUGGGAUAAACUCCCUGGCUGCAAAGAGUACAGUCUCUUCCAGGAUGGAGAAAAAGGUUGUCAUUCUGCUCUCUCCGCUGAAAACCACAGAAUGAGUAAACGGGCAGUGAGCACUGAAAUGGGGGCCCAGCCACACAAAUGAAGGGAACAGAAAAUAGGAAAUGGAAACUGGAGCCUCCAUGAAUAUUCACAGCUCAUUUUGGACAUCGUUAUUCUGACUUUCUCAGUUCCCUCCCUACCACCAAAAAAUAGGACAAAACAAAACCCACCUUCCUCAUAGAAACCAAGUCAGGGUGUCGAGGCCCCUGCAGGAAACUCUUGUCCAAAGGAUUCCCUCUCUGGACCCACUCUUCCUGAGCCUUAGGACAGGGACAGGGAGCACUAAGGGGCCAGGGCCAGAGGCAAAGGGACAGGCAGGUCCAGGUCAGCAAGGAGAUCAGCAGGAGAAAUGGUGCUGAGAGAGUAGCUCACAUAUCCUCAGCACGUCCAGGAAAUAGUUCGGUGUUGCUCUGGGCUCUGGUUCAGCUUCUUGGUUUGCCUUGAUGUGAGAUGGAAGGCAAUAGCCAGAGAACCGUAGACGCUUAGAGAUUCUAGAAGACACAGUCAAACAACCUGUCCCCUCAGGGAGACGGUAUGGGGAGGCUGUCAACGUGGAAGGUUUUGAAAAGCAAUUUAUAUUCACCAAGAUUUAACCAAACUGCUGAGAAGUGACCAGGACUCAGACUGGAGUGUGGUCCUGUGGUCUUAAGAGCCACGCCCAGCACAGAGCACCCCGAAAUAGCAGGUCCCCAGCAUCUGUGGGCCUCUAGGUUCUGGGGGAAGAAAAAAUCUUAGGCCUUCCCUUAGGGAACCAUGACACCAUGCAAGGUUUGGUCUGCCUCGAUGUAAAAUAUAUUACCAGGCCGGGGAUUUAGCUCAGUGGUACUGCUGCCUGCCUUGCAAGAACAAGGACCCAAGUUUGAUCCCUGGUACAGAGGGUGGGUGGGUGGGGUCAUGGUAAAUUGUAUUACCAAGCAAGAGGAAAUCAUCAGCAUGGGUACUGAUGAUUUUAAAUUCAGUGGUUCAUUAGUGCAGAAACACUCUCUUUUUUUUCCAUAAAGUUUAUUGGGACAUUUCAGGUACAUUCAUCAUUGGGAUCUUGCAUCUUUACAUGACAUAUCUUGGUUCUUAUUUUUUUCACAUUCCCCUGCCCUCCCUUCACCCCCUCUACCCUUCCCUAUUUACAAAGACUUCGUUUCCAUUUUUUACCUUUUCUCAUAUUUUUUCUUUCCCCUUCUUUCCUUUCCCGUACCCCUCCCAUUUCGCCUGCUCCUUUAGACCUUUUCUUCCUAUUACACAAUAUCAGUUAUACAAUUUGAACCUUAUUUACUCGUAAUUUUUCACACUAGAGCAACUAUCCAGUAUUUAUGCAUGUGUGUCCUGUUUAUUUCACUUAAGAGUAUGGCCUCAGUGUGCAUCCAUAUGCCUAGAAAUGACUCUAUUCACCCUGGAAGUGUGGCCAUUUUCACUAUGUUUGUUCUUCCUACCUAGGAGGAAAGGAUGUUUUUUCAUUCUCUUAUAUCCUCUUCAAACCCUUUUCAGAGUGCUGUAAUUUUCAUUGUCGAGAUCUUUUGCUUCCUUUAUUAGAUCGAUUCCUAGAUACUUCAUUUCUUUUAAUGCGACUGUGAAAGGAAUUGUUUCCCUAAUUUCUCCUUUUGUGAGUCUGUUAUUUGUGUGUAAGAAGGCUAUUGAUUUUUGAGUGUUGACCUUGUAUCCAGCUAUGCUGCUGAAAGCGUCAAUUAACUCUGGAAGUCUUUUGGCAGAGUUUUUUGGGUCUUCUAUGUAGAAUAUCAUAUUGUUGGCAAAUAAUGACAGUUUAACUUCUUCCUUUCCUAUCUUUAUUGCUUUAAUUUCUUUGUCUUGUCUAAUUG
rnacentral:lncRNA from 1 species